UUGGACAGUUUUGGGAUCUUAUUUACAAUAUUGCCACAAGCUUUUGUUUACCACGACGACACCCACCUGCUUAUCUCCAUGAAAACCUAGGUUCCUAACCGCCUUUGUUCAAAUUAAAAGGAAGAGAUAGAAAACGUGAGGAAUAGAAAGAGAUGGUUACCGAGACAAAGAGUUAGAGAUGAGAAGGAGUUAAAAGGGAGGGGCCGAGGACGGUGGUUCCGUGGCGACGCUACGGCGGCAAACCACCAGGCGUGUGGAUCGGUUAUGUUCCCUAUCUGAAGGUGUGGAAGAAACUGGUGGUGGUGGUUUAUACACCCCAGCGACGGUGACGAGGUUAGACGGUGAAUAGCUCACUGGUCCACUUCAAAACUUGUCAGCUUUUAGCAAUCCUUCCAUUGGAUGUUAUGCAUACAUUAGAAUAACUAAGAGAAAUACAUUGGGUCAAAUGAUUGUCCUUUACUUUUCAUUAACUCCUCCAAAGGUCGAUUAGUUAAUCACAAACUGAAUGUCUGAAUCCAUGGGAUUUGUAUGGUUUAAAUGCUUCACCCGGUCAGCAUCUUGGCUAUUAACAAUGAGGAUAUAGAUGAAAUUUUUUUUUCAUGACUUGCAUGAAGAAGUGAUGACGACUGCUGGCUGCUCAUGGCCAUGGUCUAUUAAUAGGCGUUCAACAACUUAAGUCAGAAAUCCCUUUAAUUGAAAUUUGAAAGGGCAUUUCUAUCCAAAACAUCAUAUUCAGCCUUAAAUGAGUUGAUCAAUGUCAUUUCUUAGUUAGUGGAGCUUUUCUUAAGAUAAGCUAUAUCAUUAAUUUAAUAUAUUUUUAUGUACGAAUAACAUUGAAUUAUUGAAUAUAUAUCCUCACAAAUUUUAUA
rnacentral:lncRNA from 1 species